AACUGAUUUGACUUUUUUAAGAAGAAAGACCAAACAUAAUAAACUAAUGAGAGUCCAAGGAUAUCCAGAAGUUAUAAUAGGAUUCAGAUUCAUUGGGAGGUCCCUUUGAAACGCAAGCGCCCAAUAUGUGACCAACAACAGAACUAUAUGGUAAAUUAUAUAUUUGCUGAAACAAGCUUCCAGCUACACAAGAAUAAACUUGGAUACAAUCAAUGAGACUAGAGCCUAUACCAAUUUGUUUGAACAAUGGUCUAAAUUGACACGCGCUCAAACCACUGCCAUGGCAUAAUACAAUCCAAAAUCUAAUAGUUUUAACUUAUCCGACUAAAAGAACACAAUCCUUGAUUUAUACCCAAUAUAACGUCUAAAAUACUUUUUUAACCAUCUGUAUUCUACCACGAUCAAACCAAGCCUUAAAACAAAAAAGGGAUGCAUACAAGAAGCUAAGCUAAAAUACAGAUGACAAAAGUAAUCACUAGAACUGAUAUUUUCAUUCAAAUUCAAUUAGGUCACUGAUCUUUGUGCAAGUCUUAUCUGGCUUCAUUUUUGGCAUGGUUAUAGAGGACACCUGGAAAUCAAAAUAGAAAAAAAGAGUGAGGAAUCGGCCAAGCAGCAACACGAUAGCAGAAACCAGCACAAAAAAAAAUCGGCUCAAACCAGAAAAAUUAAUGCAAAGCAGUAAAAACAAAUAGUCUCAAUGAAUAGUGACCACAAUAACUUCAAACCAAAAUUUAGAAUCCAAAUUCAAUCCAUUUCUACACUAAAUGAAUCAUAAAUUCUUCAACAAAUUGAAAACUUUAAAAAAUCACAAAAGAAGUUUUGAUGAAAUGGUGAUUCUGUUGAAAAUGAGAGGGACAUGUAAACAAAAACGAGCAGAAAAGAGAAGAAACAGAAGGGUGUGAGUAUACGAAUACACAGAAGAUGGAGACCAAAGAGGCAACAACAGAAAUACCUAGGAAAUCGCAUGGACAGAACUUGGCCAAGCUCAGGCAAAUUCGACUUGACAUGAAACUGGUAUUACAAGCGUGUUCUCUUUGAGAACAGAUGAACAAUACUAGUCUCGAACCGCAUCAUUCCUAGAAAACGUGAUAGCUUGCCGAACUGUCUCCUUCUUUGUUUUCAGAUUUUAUUUGGACUUGGUUUAGUAAGGAUUUGGGGGGAAAUAGUGGUAUAUAGGGAUUAAGGGAAUGGUGAUGGUUGCAUGGCUGGAUUUUGGGUGGUGUUCGAGCUCCACCGCCGGUCGAAAAUGGCAAAGAGAUGGAAGAAGACGUUAGGAUUUGCCGAAGAAGGUGAGAGACAGAGGAGAGUCAUUUGAACUUGACCGUCUUUGAAGUUUUCGGACAGUCUUAAGUGAAUAAUGAGAUAUGCUUUGGACCGUUAGAUGAAACAAAAUGAAGGGACCAGAUUUGUCGAGCUCAAACAGCGUCGUUUGGUUUGAAGAUGGAAUUGGACAGG
rnacentral:lncRNA from 1 species